UACACAUCCGGAAGACACCAAAACAAAGGCUCUUGUCACGCAGAGUGAGAGGGAGAGAGGGCUCUGAAGUUUAGGUGGAAGAGGACUGAGAGAAACACUGCUCACCAGUUUGUUCAGAGAGUUGUCCCAGAGAUCAAAAAUAUACUGCGGUGAUCGGAAUAGCUGCAGGUGCAGAUCAAGUGUGCCAUGCGUGCUGCUAUGAGAAGUUGUAUGUUCUCUUUCCUCAUAGGGUGAAAUCGGCACCGCGUAUUGCACCUGACAAACCGACUCGGAAUGGUGCAGCUGCGCUCUUCAACUGUGUGCCUUGGUGCUGGAAACACUGCGGGAGCCUGCGAAGGGCAGAACUAAACUCAGCUGGUGCCAGUAGUCUGUGCUGUUACAGUGUGGGAGUUACAGCAGCAAAGCAAGAGCGUUAGGAAAUGAAAAUGGGGCCAGAUCAUGUUGUUCGAGUCCUGGACAGAAAUUUGGCUCAGAAGGCUCAAAUCUCUUGGACUUUGAAGGCUAGUCUCCUCAUAAAGUAAUAUCUUCAGGCAUAAGAGUAGCAACAUAUAAAGAAAGUCCUACAGAUGUUGACACUGCAGAACCCGUCUGUUCUUUACUGCUCCAUCGCUGCAAUCUUCAUUCUAAGGCAUUGCUGCAAAACAUACUUCGACUGAGGUAACCAAUUUCCAGCUGAAAUACAACACAGAGCUUCCACGGUACUCACUUUGUAAGCACCGGAAAACUCAGAACAUAUCAUCACAUACACCUUUGUCUGGAAUUCUUCUGAUCUUUCUGGAGACGUUAUUGUUUAACUUCUUGGAUGGGGUAAAAAGCCUGUGUUUAAGGGCUUGACUUGGUGGAUCCAGUUUCUACGUGUGGCUGUUGCCUGUGUAACUUUGUUCAUAACCUUGGGCAGGUCCCCCAGUACCUGCAUUUCAUUCAAACCCAAAACAUGCUGGGAGCUGGAACUUAACUGCUAACUCUGGCCCCUUCUUAGACAUAAAGAGAAGUCUCAGUAAGAAGAAGACUGAAAUAUGAAUUAAUAUUAUUUGUUCUGGCAUCAAUCAUUCACUCAAAAAAUCAUAUGUAAGCUACAAUUGGAUUAAAAGGUUAAGGUUAAUUAAAUAUCUGAAGUGACUGAGGUCUUGUAGACCUAGGAGUGUGGUGGGCAACUGUCACCUACACCUGUUAAAAUACAUUAAAUAACUGUGGAGAAUGCAUUUUUUCAGAGAGGAAGAGGCUCAACCUCAGAAAACUGUACCAGUUUCUGAACAGUAUUGCUUUUUUAACAUGUUUUUUUUCCUAUAUUAUUUAUCUUUUUCACUCAAUGGACAUCCUGAAAGAACCAAGUGAUCCUUUUCAAUUAUAAAAUAAUAAAAAGAGGAAACAAAUAUUUUCCUUUUUUGAGGUGUAAUCAACACAAACGCUAAAACAUAUCUCAGAACGUGUGUUCUGCUGUUUGCAAAGUUACCAGUUCCAGUGUCGGCCAAACAGCUUCGAGUUGUCUUGUCUGAUACUCCAGUACAGCCUAUCUGCUGUGUAAUACGUUUACUGGAAGCCCUUGUGAUCAAUGUCUCUGCUAGUGCAUGUUUUCCCCUCCCAGCCUGUUACUGCAUUACACAAGAAAUCUCCAAUUUAGCCUGUAAUCCUGGCAAGCAUUUCUUGGACCAUAUCGCUAUCCUUUCAUGUUGGCCAAGUUUAAAGGGGGAGAAGGAGGAGGAGAAAGAUUAGCCAGCUGCUUUUAAAACCCAUCGGUGCAUACUGUAUUUACCGAGAUGGGUAAUAAAGACAAGCUUUGGUCCUAUUGUUAUCUUUUUGGAUAAGGCCUGUGUUAUGUUUGGGGAACAGAGGUCACGUUUUCUUGCACUUGUGUCCUGUGAUUGGUGUAUUGUUUAAAGACUAUGAGGAAUAAUCUUGUGCUCCAAAGGAAGUUGGCAAUAAAGUUUGCUCUAUAAAAAGAAACAUGCAGUUAGGAUACAGUUUCCUUUUCUGAGUCAAAGCAGAGCGUCAAGUCAGAAUUUCCAACCCAGAGGGUCAGGAAGGAUUCCAGGACUUCUUGAAUCACAACUGAAAUGUGCAGCCACCCUCCAGCUCCCUUCGUUUCACCCUUUUGGCCCAAGUCCCGCUGGGAUUACUACUCUGAAUUAUUUUAUUUUCAAUUUACUGUAUGACCAGUUCUUAAUAUGGACACACACCAUGUUUUCCCCGUGCUGUGUCUUCUCUUCCUGUCUUAACUGACUACUGUCAUUUCUUCUCUGCAUGCUAUGCGCACAGUCAAGUGUUCCCUAAAAUUUAGGAUGCUUUUUCCUACCUGAAAUACUGAAGAAACUGAACUCUACCCUAAACCAAUGGAGAUAACAGCUCUCGCAGUCUCUGUUGUCUUUGCUCAUGGUGUUUCUUUUUUAAAAUAAAAUCAAUAAUGAACUUUUACAAGCUAUUUGGACAGUGAUUUCAUUCCAUGCUUACUUUUUCAUUAAAAUUAUUUGGAGAAGAACACACAACUUUUUCCAAGAAGAUUAUUUUUUCUCCUCUGCAAAGGUUCAAGCACUUGAAAAAAAGCAUGCACU